UCCUACGGGUGGCUGCAGUGAGGAAUAUUGCGCAAUGGGGGAAACCCUGACGCAGCAACGCCGCGUGAGUGAAGAAGGCUUUCGGGUUGUAAAGCUCUGUCGGGUGGGAAGAAACCUCUUUAGGUAAAUAGCCUAGAGAGCUGACGGUACCACCGAAGGAAGCACCGGCUAACUCCGUGCCAGCAGCCGCGGUAAGACGGAGGGUGCAAGCGUUGUUCGGAAUCACUGGGCGUAAAGCGCGUGUAGGCGGGCUGAUCAGUCGAGUGUGAAAGCCCGAGGCUCAACUUCGGAAGUGCACUCGAAACUGUCAGGCUUGAGUACGGGAGAGGGAAGUGGAAUUCCUGGUGUAGAGGUGAAAUUCGUAGAUAUCAGGAGGAACACCGGUGGCGAAGGCGGCUUCCUGGACCGAUACUGACGCUGAGACGCGAAAGCGUGGGGAGCAAACAGGAUUAGAUACCCCGGUAGUC
rnacentral:rRNA from 1 species